rnacentral:rRNA from 1 species
UUAAACUGAAGAGUUUGAUCAUGGCUCAGAUUGAACGCUGGCGGCAGGCUUAACACAUGCAAGUCGAGCGGUAACAG